ensembl:lncRNA
UUUUGGCCACUGUCACGCUGGCCUUAGGUGGUCUUAGCUGGUUUUAGCUGGUUUUCUUUACUGAAUCAACUGGUUUUAGCUGGAUUAGAAUAGAAAAAUGUUAACAACAUGCUAGUUACUUGCUUAUCAGACUAGAAACAUACUUCUAACAUGGUUUAAAGUGGUUUUGGCCACUGUCACGCUGGCCUCAGCUGGUCUUAGCUGGUUUUAGCUGGUUUUCUUUACUGAAUCAACUGGUUUUAGCUAGAUUAUCAUAGAAACAUGUUAACAACAUGUUAGUAACUUGAUAAUCAGACUAGAAACAUACUUCUAACAUGGUUUAAAGUGGUUUUGGCCACUGUCACGCUGGCCUUACCUGGUCUUAGCUGGUUUUAGCUGGUUUUC